rnacentral:rRNA from 1 species
UGGGGAAUUUUGGACAAUGGGCGAAAGCCUGAUCCAGCAAUGCCGCGUGUGUGAAGAAGGCCUUCGGGUUGUAAAGCACUUUUGUCCGGAAAGAAAUCCUUGGCUCUAAUACAGUCGGGGGAUGACGGUACCGGAAGAAUAAGCACCGGCUAACUACGUGCCAGCAGCCGCGGUAAUACGUAGGGUGCAAGCGUUAAUCGGAAUUACUGGGCGUAAAGCGUGCGCAGGCGGUUUGCUAAGACCGAUGUGAAAUCCCCGGGCUCAACCUGGGAACUGCAUUGGUGACUGGCAGGCUAGAGUAUGGCAGAGGGGGGUAGAAUUCCACGUGUAGCAGUGAAAUGCGUAGAGAUGUGGAGGAAUACCGAUGGCGAAGGCAGCCCCCUGGGCCAAUACUGACGCUCAUGCACGAAAGCGUGGGGAGCAAACAGGAUUAGAUACCCUGGUAGUCCACGCCCUAAACGAUGUCAACUGGUUGUUGGGGAUUCAUUUCCUUAGUAACGUAGCUAACGCGUGAAGUUGACCGCCUGGGGAGUACGGUCGCAAGAUU